CCUACGGGAGGCAGCAGUGAGGAAUAUUGGUCAAUGGACGAGAGUCUGAACCAGCCAAGUAGCGUGAAGGAUGACUGCCCUAUGGGUUGUAAACUUCUUUUAUAUGGGAAUAAAAUGUUCCACGUGUGGGAUUUUGUAUGUACCAUCUGAAUAAGGAUCGGCUAACUCCGUGCCAGCAGCCGCGGUAAUACGGAGGAUCCGAGCGUUAUCCGGAUUUAUUGGGUUUAAAGGGAGCGUAGGUGGAUUGUUAAGUCAGUUGUGAAAGUUUGCGGCUCAACCGUAAAAUUGCAGUUGAAACUGGCAGUCUUGAGUACAGUAGAGGUGGGCGGAAUUCGUGGUGUAGCGGUGAAAUGCUUAGAUAUCACGAAGAACUCCGAUGGCGAAGGCAGUUCACUGGACUGCAACUGACACUGAGGCUCGAAAGUGUGGGUAUCAAACAGGAUUAGAUACCCCGGUAGUC
rnacentral:rRNA from 1 species